ACGGAAGGCAGCAGUGGGGAAUAUUGGACAAUGGGGGAAACCCUGAUGCAGCAACGCCACGUGUGGGAAGAAGCAUUUCGGUGUGUAAACCACUGUCGUGAGGGAAUAAUGCUUGAUUUCGGUCAAGUUGAAUGUACCUCGAGAGGAAGCACCGGCAAACUUCGUGCCAGCAGCCGCGGUAAUACGAGGGGUGCAAGCGUUGUUCGGAAUCACUGGGCGUAAAGGGAGCGUAGGCGGAGACGCAAGCAGUCUGUACAAUACCGGGGCCCAACCCCGGACCUGCAUACUGGACUGUGUCUCUUGGAUAGUGCAGGGGCAGGCGGAAUUCCUGGUGUAGCGGUGGAAUGCGUAGAGAUCAGGAAGAACACCGAUGGCGAAGGCAGCCUGCUGGGGACUCAUUGACGCUGAGGCGCGAAAGCCGGGGGAGCGAACAGGAUUAGAUACCCUGGUA
rnacentral:rRNA from 1 species